UACGGGGGGGGUAAGCGUUGUUCGGAAUUACUGGGCGUAAAGGGCUCGUAGGCGGCCAACUAAGUCAUACGUGAAAUCCCUCAGCUUAACUGGGGAACUGCGUGUGAUACUGGAGGGCUUGGAUUUGGGAGAGGGAUGCGGAAUUCCAGGUGUAGCGGUGAAAUGCGUAGAUAUCUGGAGGAACACCGGUGGCGAAGGCGGCAUCCUGGACCAAUAUUGACGCUGAGGAGCGAAAGCCAGGGGAGCAAACGGG
rnacentral:rRNA from 1 species